UCGAGAAUUUUUCUCAAUGGGGGAAACCCUGAAGGAGCGACGCCGCGUGGGGGAUGAAUGGCUUCGGCCCGUAAACCCCUGUCAUUUGCGAUCAAACCUUACGACCUAACACGUCGUAAGCUGAUAGUAGCGGAAGAGGAAGGGACGGCUAACUUCGUGCCAGCAGCCGCGGUAAUACGAAGGGGGCUAGCGUUGUUCGGAAUUACUGGGCGUAAAGCGCACGUAGGCGGAUUUGUAAGUCAGGGGUGAAAUCCCGGGGCUCAACCUCGGAACUGCCCUUGAUACUGCAAAUCUCGAGUCCGAUAGAGGUGAGUGGAAUUCCUAGUGUAGAGGUGAAAUUCGUAGAUAUUCGGAAGAACACCAGUGGCGAAAGGCGGCUCACUGGACGUGUAUUGACGCUGAGGUACGAAAGCGUGGGGAGCAAACAGGAUUAGAUACCCGAGUAGUCCCUGAGCGGGCUGGCAAGGCGCAU
rnacentral:rRNA from 1 species